UACGUAGGUGGCAAGCGUUGUCCGGAUUUACUGGGCGUAAAGAGCGCGCAGGCGGUCGAAUAAGUCGAAUGUGAAAGCCCCCGGCUUAACUGGGGAGGGUCAUUCGAUACUGCUCGACUUGAAGGCAGGAGAGGGAAGUGGAGUUCCCGGUGUAGUGGUGAAAUGCGUAGAUAUCAGGAGGAAUACCGAUGGCGAAGGCAGGUCUCUGGGCUGACACUGACGCUCAUGCACGAAAGCGUGGGGAGCAAACAGG
rnacentral:rRNA from 1 species